rnacentral:rRNA from 1 species
ACGGGUGAGUAACGCGUGGGAACGUGCCUUUCGGUUCGGAAUAACUCAGGGAAACUUGAGCUAAUACCGGAUACGCCCUUCGGGGGAAAGAUUUAUUGCCGAAAGAUCGGCCCGCGUCCGAUUAGCUAGUUGGUGUGGUAAUGGCGCACCAAGGCGACGAUCGGUAGCUGGUCUGAGAGGAUGAUCAGCCACACUGGGACUGAGACACGGCCCAGACUCCUACGGGAGGCAGCAGUGGGGGAUAUUGGACAAUGGGCGCAAGCCUGAUCCAGCCAUGCCGCGUGAGUGAUGAAGGCCCUAGGGUUGUAAAGCUCUUUCGCCAGGGACGAUAAUGACGGUACCUGGAUAAGAAGCCCCGGCUAACUUCGUGCCAGCAGCCGCGGUAAUACGAAGGGGGCUAGCGUUGUUCGGAAUCACUGGGCGUAAAGCGCACGUAGGCGGAUCUUUAAGUCAGGGGUGAAAUCCCGAGGCUCAACCUCGGAACUGCCUUUGAUACUGGAGGUCUCGAGUUCGGGAGAGGUGAGUGGAACUGCGAGU